AUGGCGCCCUCCAGCCUGCUGUGGGCACUGGUGGCCUUCACCUGCUCUGGAUCCAGUGUAGCCCAGAAAGUUAUUCAAGAUCAACCAACUACAACCAGACAAGAAGGGUCAGCAGUCACCCUGAAGUGUCGCUAUGAAACAAGUUGGAAUAACUACUACUUGUAUUGGUACAAGCAGCUUCCUGAUGGAAAGAUGAGUUACAUUAUUCAUCAGUCUUCUUCUGAAGACAAUGCAGUAAAGGGUCGCUAUUUUAUCAUCUUCCAGAAAGCAGACAAAUCCAUCUCCCUCACCAUUUCGCCCUUACAACUAGAUGAUUCAGCAACGUAUCUCUGUGCUCUCUGGGAAGGCACAGUGUUUGAGGCAAUAGUAAAAGCUGAACAAAAACCCUGA